rnacentral:rRNA from 1 species
ACCGAAGAAUGUUAUCACGGGAGACACACGGCGGGUGCUAACGUCCGUCGUGAAGAGGGAAACAACCCAGACCGCCAGCUAAGGUCCCAAAGUCAUGGUUAAGUGGGAAACGAUGUGGGAAGGCACAGACAGCCAGGAUGUUGGCUUAGAAGCAGCCAUCAUUUAAAGAAAGCGUAAUAGCUCACUGGUCGAGUCGGCCUGCGCGGAAGAUGUAACGGGGCUAAACCAUGCACCGAAGCUGCGGCAGCGACACUAUGUGUUGUUGGGUAGGGGAGCGUUCUGUAAGCCGUUGAAGGUGGCCUGUGAGGGUUGCUGGAGGUAUCAGAAGUGCGAAUGCUGACAUAAGUAACGAUAAUGCGGGUGAAAAACCCGCACGCCGGAAGACCAAGGGUUCCUGUCCAACGUUAAUCGGGGCAGGGUGAGUCGACCCCUAAGGCGAGGCCGAAAGGCGUAGUCGAUGGGAAACAGGUUAAUAUUCCUGUACUUGGUGUUACUGCGAAGGGGGGACGGAGAAGGCUAUGUUAGCCGGGCGACGGUUGUCCCGGUUUAAGCAUGUAGGCGGAGGUUCCAGGUAAAUCCGGUACCUUUUAACGCUGAGGUGUGAUGACGAGGCACUACGGUGCUGAAGUAACAAAUGCCCUGCUUCCAGGAAAAGCCUCUAAGCAUCAGGUAACACGAAAUCGUACCCCAAACCGACACAGGUGGUCAGGUAGAGAAUACCAAGGCGCUUGAGAGAACUCGGGUGAAGGAACUAGGCAAAA